rnacentral:rRNA from 1 species
UACGUAGGGUGCGAGCGUUAAUCGGAAUUACUGGGCGUAAAGCGUGCGCAGGCGGUUUUGUAAGCCAGAUGUGAAAUCCCCGGGCUUAACCUGGGAAUGGCAUUUGGGACUGCAAGGCUGGAGUUUGGCAGAGGAGACUGGAAUUCCUGGUGUAGCAGUGAAAUGCGUAGAUAUCAGGAGGAACACCGAUGGCGAAGGCAGGUCUCUGGGCUGAAACUGACGCUCAUGCACGAAAGCGUGGGGAGCAAACAGG